UUGAAGGAGCCGAGGGUGGGCG
rnacentral:piRNA from 1 species